GUGGGGAAUAUUGGACAAUGGGGGGAACCCUGAUCCAGCCAUGCCGCGUGUGUGAAGAAGGCCUCUUGGUUGUAAAGCACUUUAAGCGAGGAGGAGGCUACCGAGAUUAAUACUCUUGGAUAGUGGACGUUACUCGCAGAAUAAGCACCGGCUAACUCUGUGCCAGCAGCCGCGGUAAUACAGAGGGUGCAAGCGUUAAUCGGAUUUACUGGGCGUAAAGCGCGCGUAGGUGGCCAAUUAAGUCAAAUGUGAAAUCCCCGAGCAUAACUUUGGAAUUGCAUUCGAUACUGGUUGGCUAGAGUAUGGGAGAGGAUGGUAGAAUUCCAGGUGUAGCGGUGAAAUUCGUAGAGAUCUGGAGGAAUACCGAUGGCGAAAGCAGCCAUCUGGCCUAAUACUGACACUGAGGUGCGAAAGCAUGGAGAGCAAACAGGAUUAGAAACCCUAGUAGUCC
rnacentral:rRNA from 1 species